rnacentral:rRNA from 1 species
AUUGAACGCUGGCGGCAGGCCUAACACAUGCAAGUCGAGCGAGCGGCGGACGGGUGAGUAAUGUCUGGGAAACUGCCUGAUGGAGGGGGAGAACUACUGGAAACGGUAGCUAAUACCGCAUACAAUAAGAUGUGCCAAGAUGGGAUUAGCUAGUAGGGGGGGUAACGGCUCACCUAGGCGACGAUCCCUAGCUGGUCUGAGAGGAUGACCAGCCACACUGGAACUGAUACACUGUCCAGACUCCUACUGGAGGCAGCAGUGGGGAAUAUUGCACAAUGGGCGCAAGCCUGAUGCAUCCAUGCCGCGUGUAUGAAGAAGGCCUUCGGGUUGUAAAGUACUUUCAGCGGUGAGGCGUUACCCGCAGAAGCAGCACCGGCUAACUCCGUGCCAGCAGCCGCGGUAAUUC